rnacentral:lncRNA from 1 species
UGGUAAGCAAGGAGCACAAUUGUCUUGUAGACGUCCAAGGUGUAUUGUUUACGGAUGUCGUCAACUAGGUCGUCUGUUAACCCAAACAUGUGGGGGUGCAAGGUCCCCAUGUGCGUUCAUCUCGAAGGACUUGAUACUGAUCGGACCACAAUCGCCAGUCCUUUCGUUGUAGUAGAUAUCCGGAACACAAUACCAACUGAAAGGAUCAAGCCCGCAUAACUGAGUUUGUUGGUGUUUAGCAACCUUCUUGACGAGAUAUGGGAGUGUUAUGAGGACGAACUC